rnacentral:rRNA from 1 species
CCUACGGGUGGCAGCAGUGGGGAAUAUUGGACAAUGGGCGAAAGCCUGAUCCAGCCAUGCCGCGUGUGUGAAGAAGGCCUUCGGGUUGUAAAGCACUUUCAGUGGGGAAGAAAGCCUUGGGGCUAAUACCCUCGAGGAAGGACAUCACCCACAGAAGAAGCACCGGCUAACUCCGUGCCAGCAGCCGCGGUAAUGCGGAGGGUGCGAGCGUUAAUCGGAAUUACUGGGCGUAAAGCGCGCGUAGGCGGUCUGAUAAGCCGGUUGUGAAAGCCCCGGGCUCAACCUGGGAACGGCAUCCGGAACUGUCAGGCUAGAGUGCAGGAGAGGAAGGUAGAAUUCCCGGUGUAGCGGUGAAAUGCGUAGAGAUCGGGAGGAAUACCAGUGGCGAAGGCGGCCUUCUGGACUGACACUGACGCUGAGGUGCGAAAGCGUGGGUAGCAAACAGGAUUAGAUACCCGAGUAGUC